rnacentral:rRNA from 1 species
AGCAGUGGGGAAGUAUUGCACAAUAGGGCGCAAGACCUGAUGCAGCCAUGCCGCGUGUAUGAAGAAGGACCUUCGGGUUGUAAGUACGUUUCUAGCAGUGAGGAAGGUGGUAGUGUUAAUAGCACUAUCAUUUGACGUUAGCUGCAGAAGAAGACACCGGCUAACUACCGUCGCCAGCAGCCGCGGUAAUACGGAGGGUGCGAGCGUUAAUCGGAAUUACUGGGCGUAAAGCGCAUGCAGGUGGUUUGUUAAGUCAGAUGUGAAAGCCCGGGGCGUCAACCUCGGAAUUGCAUUUGUAAACUAGGCAGACUAGAGUACUGUAGAGGGGGGUAGGAAUUUCAGGUGUAGCGGUGAAAUGCGUAGAGAUCUGAAGGAAUACCGGUGGCGAAGGCGGCCCCCUGGACAGAUACUGACACUCAGAUGCGAAAGCGUGGGGAGCAAACAGGAUUAGAUACCCUGGUAG